AGCGAACGCUGGCGGCAGGCUUAACACAUGCAAGUCGAGCGCCCCGCAAGGGGAGCGGCAGACGGGUGAGUAACACGUGGGAACGUGCCUUUUUGGUUCGGAACAACCCAGGGAAACUUGGGCUAAUACCGGAUAAGCCCUUACGGGGAAAGAUUUAUCGCCAAAAGAUCGGCCCGCGUCUGAUUAGCUAGUUGGUGGGGUAAUGGCCCACCAAGGCUACGAUCAGUAGCUGGUCUGAGAGGANGAUCAGCCACAUUGGGACUGAGACA
rnacentral:rRNA from 1 species